GGAUUGCUGCGUUAGGGAUUGAAAUGGAAAGCCCACAGCCUGACGGAGGAAGUGCGAGGACUUGCAGUGGAAAGCCCGACCGCUU
rnacentral:misc_RNA from 1 species